GGCGUCGCAGUGUGUCAGGAAGCUCAGUGAAUUCGACAUCACGCAGUAGGCAUUGCACACUGUAGCGUAUAAAAACUCAUCCUGUCUUCAGUCACAAUUUCGUCGCCCGAAUCAGGAACUCAGUAUCAUCUGAAUAUAAAGGAAGAAGUCUAACUGCCACGGGUGACCGCUGAUCGUGUCCGGGUGAACAGCACGGCACCACUGAGGACGAUGCUGCGGAUGCUGCGCUCCAGGCUGCAGCUGCCGGCGCAGCUGCUGGUGAUGCUCGUCGUGUUGACGCUGUUCCUGCUGCUCACACUGUGUCUGCUGCUGCUGCUGCUGCUGCUGACAAUGUCUAUAACCAUGAUAACGGUCUCCAUAGGGCGCAGGUACGUCGUGUCUCUGGGCCUCGGGAAAAUGUUCAAACAAAAUUUCAAGCAACCAGUACACAGUGAGAAAACAACGGACAAAAAUUAAGCCGUCAAGAAAUAUUACCAAUGCAUUAAUCAUUACGACAUUUUAUGUUCACUGUAAAAUAUGAUUAUGUAAUUCCUGAAGAAUAAUAAAUUAAUAUCAAUUAAUGGA